rnacentral:rRNA from 1 species
CGCUCCUACGGGGCGCAGCAGUGAGGAAUAUUGGUCAAUGGACGAGAGUCUGAACCAGCCAAGUAGCGUGAAGGAUGACUGCCCUAUGGGUUGUAAACUUCUUUUAUAUGGGAAUAAAGUUUUCCACGUGUGGAAUUUUGUAUGUACCAUAUGAAUAAGGAUCGGCUAACUCCGUGCCAGCAGCCGCGGUAAUACGGAGGAUCCGAGCGUUAUCCGGAUUUAUUGGGUUUAAAUGGAGCGUAGAUGGGUUGUUAAGUCAGUUGUGAAAGUUUGCGGCUCAACCGUAAAAUUGCAAUUGAUACUGG